UACUGUAAUAAUCCUCUUUCUAAUGAUAUAUAACAUUAUAGUAUUCAAACAAUUUGAAAUUUUUACUCACGUACCUAGUAAGAGUAAUAAAAUUAUUUUAUUCAACAUUACGAAUUGAAUUACGAGAAGAAGUCGUUGUAAUUAAUUUAAAACAUAUUGCAUCACGAGAAGAAUAGAAAAAAUAUUGCUAUACUUAAGUAUCAAGAUUAAAAUACUGAUGUACCGUUAAAAUGAAGGUGGUAAUAAAGUUUACAAAAUUUGCUCUGGCUGAAUUUUUCAAUGAAAAAACAAUAUGUGUGCCAUGAAUGUAAUCUAUUUUUCAUGGCGUAUCAAUGAAAGUUUGGUGUAUUGGCCAAAUCACUUGCAAGCAUCUUGCCUUUAAGCUGCCAUAUGUAAAGUCAUGCUUUUAAAAGUAACUGAAAGCAACUGAAAAUAAUAAUUUUUUGAAUGGAAUUAUCUGUGCCUCCAGCUUAAAAGGAUGCAGGUUACAAAAAAAGUGACACUGAUGAGAUUGUCUCUCAGUUUCUCAAAGAUUGAAGAAAUCUUUAGUGUUUUAGGGUUAAGUGAUUCCAAAAGAGCUUUGCUUGACUAUCUUAUUCGAUUUAUUGAAUUUAUUUGCCGGUUAUAGAUGAAAAAAGAUCUUCUAAACCUAGAAGAAAAAUUAUGGAACAAAGACACCUUAUGAAUAGUUUUUGGAAACAGUACCAUGUACUAUUAAAGUUUCUAAUUUUUAAAAUAUAUGAUACAUUUAUAUGAAACAUACAAACAAAUGAUACAAUAUGAUACGUGAUUGACUAUAAUUAUGUUGUAUAUCAGAAUGUUUUAUAUAAAUGCUUAUUACAUUUUAUUGUGUUUUUUAUCUUUUAUGCCCAGUUAGUAAUGUAUUUUGUGUAGCAAUGACUAAUAAUCUCAGAUAUCUAUGACAUCUGUAGGGUGUAUUCACCGCUACAGAUGUCAUAAUCUAUUUAUAACCAAUUGCUUUUACUCUUCCAUAAUGUCAUAUUUUAAUAAGAAUCACAUUAUGGAAAACCGUCUAAUACAUACACAUGAGGAACCAUUAUACUUUUACAACCAAUUAUAUUACAUUUGUUUUCUUAUUUUAGAUGAACUUUCUUACUUCGGUUGGAGGAGAUGAGAAACAACUUACAGCGACAAUCUUAAUACAGUUAAUGGCCAAAGAAGUAUGUUUUUCAUACUCAGUGUAUGGAAGGAACCAAAAACGUCCUGCAAGGUCGUUAUAGAUUUGCGUUUAGUCAUUUAUCGUUGUAUUCGUUUCUUUCGAAAUUGCUACUGACAAAAGUAGUAAAGAAAAAAUUGGCAGCUUUCUGGCGAGGGCCAUUAAUAGAGAUUACGGAAGAAAAAUAGAACCGUAACUGAGCAACACCCAAUAUUGAGCAAUGAAAUAAGUAUCGCCAAAAUAAUGAAAGUCGAUGCCCACUAUCUCAUAGUGAGAGUAUAAUACAGUAGUUUAUAGAUAUAUAUUUAUAUAUACAUAUUUUUUGUACCUGUAUUUAAAUAGCAUUGAUUUUAUUUUGUUAUAUUUUGGUUUUGGAAAACUCUAUACCUCUUCUUUUCAUUUGUAUCUGUUUCAUAUCACUUCAAAUAAAUUUAAUUUUUC